GACGAACGCUGGCGGCGUGCUUAACACAUGCAAGUCGAACGCUGAAGACCUGGCUUUUGUUGGGUUGGAUGAGUGGCGAACGGGUGAGUAACACGUGAGUAACCUGCCCUCUUCUUUGGGAUAACGCCCGGAAACGGGUGCUAAUACUGGAUAUUCACUGAUCUUCGCAUGGGGGUUGGUGGAAAGGUUUGUUCUGGUGGGGGAUGGGCUCGCGGCCUAUCAGCUUGUUGGUGGGGUGAUGGCCUACCAAGGCUUUGACGGGUAGCCGGCCUGAGAGGGUGACCGGUCACAUUGGGACUGGGAUACGGCCCAGACUCCUACGGGAGGCAGCAGUGGGGAAUAUUGCACAAUGGGCGAAAGCCUGAUGCAGCGACGCCGCGUGAGGGAUGGAGGCCUUCGGGUUGUAAACCUCUUUCGCUCAUGGUCAAGCCGCAACUGUGGGUUGUGGUGAGGGUAGUGGGUAAAGAAGCGCCGGCUAACUACGUG
rnacentral:rRNA from 1 species